UCCCGCUUCCCCUCCGCCACCACCACAACCCUUAAGGCGGUGCUUUGUGGUCCAGCUAGACAAGGACCAGUGGAGCAGAGGCGCAGGGCGAUCAGGAGGAGGCCUUCUCUGCGUGAGAGUGAAUCCUGAGUGAGCCGAUGGCAGAUGAGGGCAGUAUUGGAUAUUCUGAAAUUCAUCACCGCAGAUCGUCAAAGCAAUGGGAUGCUUAUUAAACACAACAGUCCUUGUGGUGGACUUGCUGACUCCUACUCUCACUGCAACCACGAACUUCUGGACUCAAGCAGUCCUCCUACCUGAGGCUCCCAAGUAGCUGGGACUACAGGCAGCACACACCACUGCACCCAACUAAUUUUUCUAUUUUUUGUAGAGACAGGGUGCUCUUGCUGAGGUUGGUAAUGAACUCUUGAUCUCAAGUAAUCGUCCACCUUACCCUCCCAAAGUGCUGGCAUUAUAGGCAUGAGCCUCUGCAACUGGCCAAAACAUUAUUUUCUUAAUUGACCUUGCAUUUGAAGAUGGCUUUUUUUGCAUCAAAAUUAACAAAUUCACAGACAGAAUCACUUAAACAAUCAUUAUGGUUUGAAAUAAUGAAGUUUCUUUCCCCCUAAUGUUUAAUGUUUAUUUUUACACUAUUUAAAAAACAAAAACUAUUCCCCUGUAAAAGGCACAGAAGAUUCUGAUACUUUGUCACAUGAAAAAAAUUUCACUUUUAAAGUCAAUAUGGAUGCUUUUAUAAUUAUGUUUAUUGCUUACAAACUAAUGAGAUAUUAUGAAAGUAAUAAUACUUUCUAAUCAUAUUGCUUCUUAAAUAAACAUAAAUCAUUAAAAGAAAAACAGUAUUUCACUUGAUUUUAUAUCUAAACUUUUAUUUUUAAAUGUUUUAUGGCAGAAAGUGAAAUCAAUGAUUAGAAUUUGCUCUGAAAUCAAAGAUAUAUGAAUUCAAGUCUCAUUUAUGCCACUUACUAGCUGUAACUUUACUCAAAUUACAUAGUUUCUAUCUUGAUUUUAUUAUCUGCAAAUAGUGACACUAAUCAUUAUAUUUUCUUUUGACUUAUAUGUGUGUGUGUUAAAUGGAAUAAUGAGCAAUAGCACUUAGCCUAGUAGCUGGCUUUAAUAAAUGCUCAAUAAAUAAUAAUCAUGUGUGUGUGCACUG